rnacentral:tRNA from 1 species
UGGGGGGUAGUACAAGUGUGGCAGUACGCGAGGUUUUGGAUCUUGUGGUAUAGGUUCGAGUCCUGUUCCCUAGG